AGUUGUUGCAACAGUUAACAUUUUCUAAGGCUCUCUUUUCUAUAGGGUUAUUUAAUCUAGUUGUUCUUCCAUAAUUCAUCAAACUAACAAGUUAUAUGAUACACAGGAUUCAGUAACUGUUGUAGGAUAUCCACUUGGUGGAGAUACAAUCUCUGUGACAAAGGGUGUGGUAUCACGAAUUGAGGUUAGUAUGCUCAUGGAUCCUCUGAUCUGCUUGGUAUUCAGAUUGAUGCUGCAAUAAACCCUGGAAACAGUGGUGGUCCUGCCUUCAAUGAUCGUGGUGAGUGUAUUGGUGUGGCAUUCCAGGUAUUCCUUCUGCUAAAUCUGCCUUUUAUUUUCCCUACUUUAUCUAUUCCAAACUUUUCAAAAAUCUUUUAUAGAUUAACUUUGUCCCAGAAUAAUGUUUAAUGGAAAUGCAUCUGAGUACUGCUUUUGCACCUAAAUUAGCAUUCUACCUUCUUUCAUAUCUCACUAGAUAUUUCAUUUAGG